rnacentral:rRNA from 1 species
GCCUAUCAGCUUGUUGGCGGGGUAAUGGCCCACCAAGGCGACGACGGGUAGCUGGUCUGAGAGGAUGGCCAGCCACAUUGGGACUGAGAGACGGCCCAGACUCCUACGGGAGGCAGCAGUGGGGAAUAUUGCGCAAUGGGCGGAAGCCUGACGCAGCGACGCCGCGUGGGGGAUGACGGCCUUCGGGUUGUAAACCUCUUUCGGCCUCGACGAAGCCUUUCGGGGUGACGGUAGGGGUGGAAGAAGCACCGGCCAACUACGUGCCAGCAGCCGCGGUAAUACGUAGGGUGCGAGCGUUGUCCGGAAUUAUUGGGCGUAAAGAGCUCGUAGGCGGUGUGUCACGUCGGCCGUGAAAACCUGCAGCUUAACUGUGGGCGUGCGGUCGAUACGGGCAUCACUGGAGUUCGGCAGGGGAGACUGGAAUUCCUGGUGUAGCGGUGAAAUGCGCAGAUAUCAGGAGGAACACCGGUGGCGAAGGCGGGUCUCUGGGCCGAUACUGACGCUGAGGAGCGAAAGCGUGGGGAGCAAACAGGAUUAGAUACCCUGGUAGUCCACGCCGUAAACGGUGGGCACUAGGUGUGGGGGCCAUUCCACGGUCUCUGUGCCGCAGCUAACGCAUUAAGUGCCCCGCCUGGGGAGUACGG